rnacentral:rRNA from 1 species
UCGAGGGGCAGCGCGGGUAGCAAUACCUGGCGGCGACCGGCAAACGGGUGCGGAACACGUACGCAACUUACCCAAAACUGGGGAAUAGCCCGGGGAAACCCGGAUUAAUACCUCGUAACAUAAUUGAAUGGCAUCAUUUGAUUAUUAUAGCUCCGGCGGUUUUGGAUGGGCGUGCGCCUGAUUAGGUAGUUGGCGGGGUAACGGCCCACCAAGCCUACGAUCAGUAACUGGUGUGAGAGCACGACCAGUCACACGGGCACUGAGACACGGGCCCGACUCCUACGGGAGGCAGCAGUAAGGAAUAUUGGUCAAUGGACGCAAGUCUGAACCAGCCAUGCCGCGUGAAGGAUGAAGGUCCUCUGGAUUGUAAACUUCUUUUAUAUGGGAAGAAAUCCACUUUUUCUUGAGUGGUUGACGGUACCAUAGGAAUAAGCACCGGCUAACUCCGUGCCAGCAGCCGCGGUAAUACGGAGGGUGCAAGCGUUAUCCGGAUUCACUGGGUUUAAAGGGUGCGUAGGAGGGCAGGUAAGUCAGUGGUGAAAUCUCCAAGCUUAACUUGGAAACUGCCGUUGAUACUAUCUGUCUUGAAUACCGUGGAGGUGAGCGGAAUAUGUCAUGUAGCGGUGAAAUGCUUAGAUAUAACAUAGAACACCAAUUGCGAAGGCAGCUCGCUACACGAAUAUUGACUCUGAGGCACGAAAGCGUGGGGAUCAAACAGGAUUAGAUACCCUGGUAGUCCACGCCCUAA